rnacentral:tRNA from 1 species
UGGGAUGUAGCUCAGUGGUUGAGCACUUGCCUGAUAUAUGCAAGGUACUAGGUUCAAUCUCCACCUCAA